UACAGAGGUCUCAAGCGUUGUUCGGAUUCAUUGGGCGUAAAGGGUGCGCAGGCGGCGAGGUAAGUCGGGUGUGAAAUCUCGGAGCUUAACUCCGAAACUGCAUUCGAUACUGCCGUGCUUGAGGACUGGAGAGGAGACUGGAAUUUACGGUGUGGCGGUGAAAUGCGUAGAUAUCGUAAGGAAGACCAGUGGCGAAGGCGGGUCUCUGGACAGUUCCUGACGCUGAGACGCGAAAGCGUGGGGAGCGAACAGG
rnacentral:rRNA from 1 species